AUUGAACGCUGGCGGCAGGCCUAACACAUGCAAGUCGAGCGAGCGGCGGACGGGUGAGUAAUGUAUGGGGACUGCCCGAUAGAGGGGGAUAACUACUGGAAACGGUGGCUAAUACCGCAUACUGUCCGAUUCCCCAUAUGGGAGUAGCUAGUAGGUGAGGUAAUGGCUUACCUAGGCGACGAUCCCUAGCUGGUCUGAGAGGAUGAUCAGCCACACUGGGACUGAGACACGGGCCAGACUCCUACGGAGGCAGCAGUGGGGAAUAUUGCACAAUGGGCGCAAGCCUGAUGCAGCCAUGCCGCGUGUAUGAAGAAGGCCCUAGGGUUGUAAAGUACUUUCAGUGGGGAGGCGUUACCGACAGAAGAAGCACCGGCUAACUCCGUGCCAGCAGCCGCGGUAAUAC
rnacentral:rRNA from 1 species